CCCCUUCCAUUUGUUUUGUACACUGCUGCUACUCACUGUUUAGUAUCUAUGCAUAGUCACUUCACCCCUACCUACAUGUAUAAAUUAUCUCUAAACUGUAUCCCCGCACACUGACUCGGUACCGGUACCCCUGUAUAUAGCCUUGUUAUAGUUAUGUUAUUGUGUUUUUUUAAACUAUUUUUUACUUUCGUUUUUUUGGUAAAUAUUUUCUUAACUCUUCUUGAACUGCACUGUUUGUUAAGGGCUUGUAGGUCAGCAUUUCACAGUAAGGUCUACACUGUUUGUUAAGGGCUUGUAGGUCAGCAUUUCACAGUAAGGUCUACACUGUUUGUUAAGGGCUUGUAGGUAAGCAUUUCACAGUAAGGUCUACACUGUUUGUUAAGGGCUUGUCAGUCAGCAUUUCACAGUAAGGUCUACACUUGUAUUCGGCGCAUGUGACAAAUACAAUUUGAAUUGAUUUGAUCAGAGUUCACC
ensembl:lncRNA